AAAGAAACGACAUGAUAUGACUGGUAAAACAUGUAGCCAACCAGUGCACGAUUCCAACGUUGCCCGGGAAGUUUGAAUUUCUCACACGAACAUAUGUUUUUAUUUGCUCUCCGUCCGGUAGAGGAGCUAAACUUCAGGCUCUGCAGAGCCACACCCACCGCGGUCAUGUUUUGACAGGCCUGCUAUAGCUAAGAGCUAAGAUAACAAGCUAAGAGGUAGCUAGUCAACAAACAUCUGUUCGUGCAGACAUGCAGACUGUCAUAAAAUAAUUUGUCAAAAGAAGUAUUUUUCUGCUGAAGUAGUUAUUCGAGAUCACUCGAAGAUGGAUUAUGUCGACAUUGAUGAGAAGAUGAGUGAUGAGAAGAUCGUGACGACGGUGAUAAUUAUGCUUGAGGGCGGAAAAGAUUAUCCAAUUUUCGCCAUCAAGUUGAAUCUUCAGAUGAAGAAUGGCAUCCAAGCACCAGCCAGAGAUGCAAGCUCUCAGUUUCUUCACUAUUCUUCACUUUUUCCAUACUUUUCAGAACAUUGCAAUUGACCAGAGGAUGGUGGCAUCAAAAGCUAGGAAUGGACUAAAGCAAUAUAUGAAGGCCAAGCCAACAAAGUACAGUAUUUAUAUCACUUGUAUUUUCUAUUGCAAAGAACCUCAGUUAUUUAUUUUUUAUAUUUCAUAAUAUUUUACUUAUGUAUUUUACAUAUAUAUUUUUUUGUUCUGUUGUGCAAAUAAAUCACUUGCAUAAAGUCUAAUGGUUGUGUGUAUUAUUUUAUAAUUGCAUUAUUUUAUGAAUUGACUGAAAUAGCUUGCAGUGCCCUGCAUAACAUUUGGUCAUUAGGUUGCUUUUUGAUGUAUCCAAGGAGGUUUCUUGGUACCUGGACA